ncrna:unclassified sequences Glutamine riboswitch
UACGUUCAUCAUGUUUAUCAUGACGGAAGUAGGUGAAAGCCGAAGGAACGCAUG